CCGGAACAGAAGAGGGCGGUAUUGCACCAAUAAGCUGGAUGCCAACCGCCGUUAAACUGGAAAGAAGACGAAAAUGAUAGCUUGCUGUGAGAGACAACGGGACAGAUGAGACACGUGUGUUUAUCUGCUGUAGAGUAACUGAUGAAGGAAUGCUGCCAUCAAAGGAUUUGUAUCUUUUGUGGUGCAGCAGGACCUGCAAGAAAAGGUGAAAAAGAGGGAAAACCUGAAACAAAAGAAUAAUGUAAUGACUUUUUGUAUUGUGUAUGUGUAUUUUUGUAGGGCAUGACAAUGUCUGUAGACUGGUGUGUGCACUGAGGAUGGAGAAGACCACAGCAUCAUCCUGGAAAUGAUCGAGAGUCACAGAUGAGACGCUCCCUCACUCCAGCUCUUACUGUCUCAUCAGGACCAGAUGCUGCUGUGGUGUCUUCAUCCUCAGUGACCCCAGAGCAGCGAGAGCUUCUAGAGAAAGACCACAAGACACUGAGGAUGUGAUUUUGGUAAGGUUUGUUCAGCUGGUUAAUGUUUAAACAAUGAAGGCUGACUUUCAGAAGCUUCAAAAGCAUCAUCAAAAAAUGUGAUGGAGCUUUUAUCUAAAGUGAUUGACAGUGCUCUUAUUACAGGGGCCUACAAUCCUCUGAUCAACCUGGAGAAAAGAGCCGUGCUCAAGGACACACUGGUGUUCCUGUGGCUCAAGUGGUAGAGCAUUACGUUAGCAGCGCAAGGUUGUGGGUUCGAAUACCAGGGAACACAUGUUAGGUAAAAACUGUUAUGCACUUUAAGUCACUUUGGAUAAAUGUAUAAUUUAUUUAUAAAUUUGAACCACUUCAGUGGUUUAGCCCACUACAAAAAUAAUAAAUUAAUGCAUGUACUUGUAAACUCUGUG